AGAUACCAAGUCCAGCAUCUUUGGACAGGCAGAAGGCCCCUGCCUUCCACUCGGUGAUGGUGUCAGGGACUGUUACUUCUACCUCAGCUUCGCCUGCCGAGCUGGAGAGGAGGGCAAGUGAAGAACAGAAAAUAGCUGUCUUAGACUUGGACUCUGCUGCUCAACCUAGAUCUUCGGCUUUUUGGAAGCUGAAAUCUUACAACAUUUACAUUAAGAAAAUGAUACACAGUUAAUACACAUUGAAGCACAUGGAACUGUCAUCUGAGACUUCUAGAGUCAUAAAGAUCCAUUUGCACCUCUGCUGACAACAGGAAAAUUGUAAUAGAAGAUGUUUUUGGCUGGAAUGUGGACGUGCUGGCCAUAGUCAGACCUACCACCGUAGCCAUCAGAUGGAAGCCAUGUGUCAAGGAAGGCAGAACCACAAAGAAGAUAAAGCCGAAACCCUGGAAUCAUCAAAAGGCUACUCUAGUUGGGACUUCAUGUGACAGAGAAAUGCAUUCUCUUUGUUAAGCCUUUGUAUUUUGAGAAAAUGCAAGAUAAGCCUGGAAUAUCUUAUCCUACCAAACAGAAAGAAUGCUGCCAAAGACUACAGGGAUUAUGUCAAAAGCACUCCCCUGCCGCCCUUAACCCAUUUCCUGUUUAGAAAAAGUGCAGCUCCCUGCCAGCAUUCAUUUAAUUUUCGUAAACACAUUCUUUGAGGCUGAAGCAAGUCUGACUGAUUUUCAAUGUGAAAAUAAAAUA